rnacentral:rRNA from 1 species
UGAGGAAUAUUGGUCAAUGGGCGAUGGCCUGAACCAGCCAAGUAGCGUGAAGGAUGACUGCCCUAUGGGUUGUAAACUUCUUUUAUAAAGGAAUAAAGUCGGGUAUGCAUACCCGUUUGCAUGUACUUUAUGAAUAAGGAUCGGCUAACUCCGUGCCAGCAGCCGCGGUAAUACGGAGGAUCCGAGCGUUAUCCGGAUUUAUUGGGUUUAAAGGGAGCGUAGAUGGAUGUUUAAGUCAGUUGUGAAAGUUUGCGGCUCAACCGUAAAAUUGCAGUUGAUACUGGAUGUCUUGAGUGCAGUUGAGGCAGGCGGAAUUCGUGGUGUAGCGGUGAAAUGCUUAGAUAUCACGAAGAACUCCGAUUGCGAAGGCAGCCUGCUAAGCUGCAACUGACAUUGAGGCUCGAAAGUGUGGGUAUCAAACAGGAUUAGAUACCCUGGUAGUCCACACGGUAAACGAUGAAUACUCGCUGUUUGCGAUAUACGGCAAGCGGCCAAGCGAAAGCGUUAAGUAUUCCACCUGGGGAGUACGCCGGCAACGGUGAAACUCAAAGGAAUUGACGGGGGCCCGCACAAGCGGAGGAACAUGUGGUUUAAUUCGAUGAUACGCGAGGAACCUUACCCGGGCUUAAAUUGCACUCGAAUGAUCCGGAAACGGUUCAGCUAGCAAUAGCGAGUGUGAAGGUGCUGCAUGGUUGUCGUCAGCUCGUGCCGUGAGGUGUCGGCUUAAGUGCCAUAACGAGCGCAACCCUUGUUGUCAGUUACUAACAGGUGAUGCUGAGGACUCUGACAAGACUGCCAUCGUAAGAUGUGAGGAAGGUGGGGAUGACGUCAAAUCAGCACGGCCCUUACGUCCGGGGCUACACACGUGUUACAAUGGGGGGUACAGAGGGCCGCUACCACGCGAGUGGAUGCCAAUCCCUAAAACCCCUCUCAGUUCGGACUGGAGUCUGCAACCCGACUCCACGAAGCUGGAUUCGCUAGUAAUCGUGCAUCAGCCACGGCGCGGUGAAUACGUUCCC